UUGAACUAUGUGUACUUGCUGUAAAUACGGGCAAACAGUGAAAUGUGGGCUUUAGGUGGGCAUUUGAUAAGCAAAGAAUGCCUAUAAUGGACCUGCAUACAUUU
rfam:Daucus carota subsp. sativus cultivar DH1 chromosome 5, whole genome shotgun sequence.